rfam:Cavia porcellus supercont2_38 genomic scaffold, whole genome shotgun sequence.
CCAAAGGCUCUUUUAAGAGCCACCUAUGCUUUCUGAAGGAAGGAA